GCGGCGGGCUAGGCCGGGAGGGGAGAGCGGGGGCCGCUCCCCCCGGAACGGCGCGGCUGCGACCUGUUAGCACGGGGCGGGCGAGGUUGGGACUCUUGGAGCAGUGGCUGCAGGGACAGGACUGAGAUGGGGUCGCUGGUGCUGUGUGUUCCUCCAGUACGGCAUGGAGCAUCAUCCAAGGUCAUAUUUAUGCCUGUUUUCUAGAAGCCAAGGAAAGGUCACUUGUCAAGGUCACAUGGUAGGCUGGUGCUGAAUGAGUCUCUCCAGUCCAAAUACAUUUUUAAUUCCAUCAUUCCCUGUAAAGCAAACAAGUGGAAAUUGUUGAUAUAAGAUAGAUGUUGGGGUUGUGCCAGCACUAUAAUUACCCUGUGACAGGGUGUUAGGAUUAGGGAUAUGGGAGAUGGCAGAAAGAGCUGGGAGCUGUGGAGGAGAGGAGUGGAGCUGGGCCAGCAGUGAUGAGGGGAAAAGCAGUGAUAGAGGUAAGGCAGUGCAGUGGAUGAGACAAAGCACGAUUAGUGCGUUCUUAGUUAUAGCGCAGUAAAAUCUCAGGGCUGUCUUAGAUGUUUUUCCCUUUCUUUUUGACCACGCUCUGAUUUGGGGAAGGGAGACUGGUUCAUAACAGACUAGUUUUCUUCCAACAAUCCAGUGAGAAAAAGACAGCAAAACCAGACUGUAGCAUCUGUGUUUGAAACAGAGAAAUGAAAUUUCAAGAUUAGAGACACGUCUGAUUUUGUGAAGACAAGCAACUGAUCGGUGGAACCUUUAGAACUGUUUAUCUGUAGUUUUAAUUCUCCUGACAGGGGAAAAAAAAAAAUCUGGCACAUUACAGCUUUCAUCAGCUUAUGAGAUUGUACUACUCUGAUAAACAUAAUCAUAAUUUGCUUUUACUAAAUUUUUUAGUAAGUGGAAAUUCAGUGUGGCUGUUGCUUAUAGCACACAAGGUGCCAUAACUAAUCAAAGGGAGACGGAAAGGUACAAAAAGAGGAUGGAGAAAGUUAGAAUAAAUUUAGGUCCAUUAGGAGUUAAAUUUGAGGGAAUGAGUUGCAAAACUAGAAGUAAUUGAGAGUGCUUUGGAAUUGCAGAGUGUAAAAAGUGGGGACAAAGGCACUACGGGUACCGUUUGGAAUGAAAAGAAUGUUUCUGAGAGCAUUUUUUAUAUUUUUCUGUGCAUGUUUAAUGGAGAAAGGAGACUGAAAGUAAAAUUAAAGAUGAAAAAGAUCCAUUACCAUCUAUAGGGCCUAAGAGAAUCAGGUAAAAUAAUGGUAAAAUAAUCAGGUAAAAAGUGGAUACCUUUUCCUGAUGUUUUAAGUAUUUAUAAUAACAUAAUAAAAUACAACCAUGCCAUUUAAAGUGUAAUAUAGCAUAUUAUGUUUUCCUGAACCCUUCUUCAUCCUCUGAAGAAAUCCCACUCUGACAGUCUCAUAGUGAUGCAAUGAUAUGUGCCAGCUGCUUUUCUCUAGUUCUCUUUGGCACUGCCAAAUGGCUCAGGUAACAACUGAGCUGUACCCACUGCUCAUUGAGCACAAUAAUUUGACCCACCCUUCUCUGCUUGAGUGCCAGCUCUCCGUGGGGCUGUGUGGGUGUUGUUAUCCCUCAGGCUUUUUUAUUGCCUGAUGAGUUCCGAUGUUAUCGGGGGCAGAGUCCCAGGCUAAGAUGAAAAUACAGAAAGCAGUUGUAUUCUGAUCUAAGGAUACCAUUAUCGUCUGGGUAUUUCAUGAGGUGUCUGCUGCUUACCAGAAACUGUCCAUCCCAGAACUGUGGAAAGCAGCAGGUGGAUGAGGAGUUGGGUGUGAAGUGGUUGGCCGCUAUGCUGUGCUCAGAGGAGGAGAAAGAGGAGGAGGAGGAGGGAGGAAGUGUCAGCUCCUGCUUCAUUUCUGCAAACACUGUCACACAGCUGAAGCAGGCAGAGCACCUUGCAGCCAUGUUAGGUAAGGGCUGCAGGAGCCCACUGUGUCCGUCCUUUUUCUGGGCAGGAGGUCCAUGAAAAUGUUCUGGUAGCCAUCGUAGGUGAGGGCAGAAAGAGCCCGCUCCAUAGCUGUCUUGGAUAAGGGAGAGAGAGAAGAGGGGACUGUCACUGUCACGUUUGUCCCCUAAAAGAGCUGGUGUCUGUUUCAGGAGGAUGAAAUGCAGCUGCGAUAGUUCAUGUGGAAACAUGAAAAACAUCUGGCUUUUGGCUGGAGUGUAUUGAAGUCUCAAUGACGAUGAAAAAUGAGAUCUUUUGCUGAAGGAAGCCUAUUGUGAAUUCUGAACUAACUGUAACCAACUGAGAAAGAAAAACACAGAGCAGCAUUAUAGGCAGCUCAGUGCCAGAUUACUGACUACUGUGCAAUGAUGAUCUAAGAGGCUUCCAAAAUAAUUAAUAUAUAUGAGACUGAGUUUUUGGUGCAGAGGUAUGAACCAGUUCCUUAGAUGAUGAUUCCAGAGAAAUUGUUACACUUGAAAUGACUGAGGCAUGCUGUAUAGGAAAAGUUCAGUUUUAAUUUUUUACACUAAGAUGCAAACUGAUAAUGAAAGCAGAAUAAACAGGUAAGGAGAAAGUUGUAGAUGCAGUUUUCUACUGAGUUCUCAUCCUUGAAACUCAUCAACAAUUUAUCCAAUCAGUUUUGUACUGAUUUUCAGAAAUACAACAAAUGCCAUGUAUAAUUGCCGUACCACAUUUAAAAUAUGACAGUCUAAGAAGGCAUUUACUGCUGUAUAGAAUAGUGUGGAAAUGUAAAGCAAAGUUUGAACUGUUACUUACAUCCUUACGUAUCUUUUGCAAAACAAACUUGCCCCAGGAAUAGCUUCUAAAACAUUCUGAACCAAGCUGUCAAAAAGCAAGGAACUGUUUUAGAGAAGUUUUCUCCAGUGUUAAAAAGAUUGAUUGUAAUUAUCACCCCGGAUUUAGCAAAGGGGUCACACUUUUUUAUUUUAGUGCUAUUAUUAUUCUUUAGUUUCAGACUUAUUUUCUGUUCAUGAUCUUUUAACUCUCUAACUGGUUAUGUAAAGACCAAUUGCAUUAUCUUUCAGCAUUAAUUUUGAAAGAGUAAGCAAGUCUACCAGUUUAAUCCUCUCUUGUCAGGUAGGUUCUCCAUUUAUUCCAUUUUCUUUCAGAUCCUUCCCUGCUCCUCUUUCUGGUUUGCGUUAUAGCUAAUUUUACAUGCAGUGUUUUUUCAUUUCAAAUUAAAUCAGCAAGUUGAAGUAUCUGGCAUUUUCACUGCUUUAUCAUUUUAGCAGAACAUAGUCAUGGUGAGCUCCUAUUUGCUUUUCUAUUAAUAUAUCAAUUUAACAGUCAUUAUUAAUAUUGACUUUUUGAAAUGUUUGAUGUUUUCUGUGGCUGUUUGAAAAAUGGAAAAGAUGCUUUAAAAGUAAUUAUUACUUUUGUGUGUGUGUGUGUUUAUCUGUUUAAAAUUAAUAUAUUUAUUAGACCAAAUCUAAUUUUCAAAUACAAAUAAAAUACUGCUUUAAACUGAAAUCUCGAGGCAGGGGAUGGAGGGGAAGGUGAGAUGAGCAGAUGAUUUUUAUGCAGUUCUUUGGUGUUACACUGUGGAUGUGAGCAGUCUGCACAGUCAGUCCCUGCAGAAGCUGAUGGAACCUGGCCAGCCAACAGUUUGCUGCUACCUGAUAGAAACUGUCCUGAGAAACUGAGAAACACAGGACAGAGCCGUGGAGAUCACAGCUGUAGGAGCAAGAUAAAGCUUGGAAGAAAACAAGGCAGGCUCAAAUACUGAACAUUUGUGGGUCUUUAGAACCCAGCUGUCCCAAAUAGGCCUUUUCUCAUUUUUCUUCCAGCAACUGACAUCACAGGACAUGUUUUUUCUAGAAGUCUCCCUUGUCCAAACCAUUCCAGAUAUUAACAGAUGGCUGUGUUUCUGCAAAACAAGGCAGAGUUACUGGAGAUUGGUAAGGGCACAUUCCAUAUGCAGAGCUCUAGUGUUUUAUGAGGCUUUAUUACACAUUUUAGCAAAAUGCUCUCAGUUAAUAGGUUCCCAGCUCUGAAGUCUGUCUUUUCUCCUGCAUUGAUACUUCUUGAAGAAGAAAGCAGUCUCAGAUGUUUCUAAGUGUUACAAUACAUGUAGAAAUGUUUUUCUUUCUCAACUAAAGAAGAUAAUCAUAUUUUAUCAAAACUAAAAUAUAUUUAAAAUGGCUAAGUGAAAAUUUUUCAGAAGCAUUGUUUCCCUAGUUAUUGGGAAUAUCUCCAGUAGGUAAGAAUCCUUUAUUCUGUACUUUUUUAUCAGAAAUCAAGUGUCUAUUACCUUUCUCCUGCCAAAAGAUUAUUUGUUAAGCAUCCAGUGGAAUUAAUUUACUGUUUAAUAAAACGAGCAGAGCAUAUUACUCUUACUAAGUACUUUAUUCUUAUUAUUUCACAUAGAUAAACUUUUUAUUCACAUGAAAACUUAAAAUUAGGGGCCAGCAAGAACUAGAAGGACAUGCAUGAUGAUAAUAGCUAAAAAUUUUGGUUUGCCCAUGACAGCAAGAAUAUAAUCAAGGGAAGGCUUAUCAGAAGCAGUGACAUGGAAUCUUUUCCUAAACCAAGUGAUAAAAGCUUUUGGCCAGGCCAUUUCAGUUCUUAAAUGGAAACAACAAAUGAAAUGCCACUGGGACUCAUUGUGCUGAGUUGAACUUGAUUAAGAUUAGUCUUAUGUCUUUUUGUGGAGAGUAAUCAUUUACAGAAUUCAGGAGUUAACUACUUGAAAAAUCUGUGAGUCUUACAUCACAGAUUUUCACUGUAAAAUACCUGGAGGAGCUGGAGACAGCGAGGAUCUUCCCAUAGUGCCCUGCCCGAGGCUGCAUACUGCAGAACCCCAUUCCAAUCUCCCUUUGUAUCUAGUGUUGUCUUGGUUAUGUAACCAAAAAAUAUGUAUUGUAUGUCAUCUGUUGAAAGCUGUUUUUUGGGAGAUAUUUUAUCUCUUGUAACUCCAGGGGAAGGGAGGAGGAUGCCUCCUGAUAAUGGCCCAGCCAUUCAAACCAGGUGAGGCAGUGUUUGUUAUCUCUGUCACCACCCCUCCAUCCUCCAGGGGACAUCUUCUGAUAAUGGGCCAUUAGGGCCCACCAAUGACAUGACACAUUCCAUCACCCCAUUAGGAGAUGCUCCACACUGUGGGCAGGAGCCAGCUGUUCCCAGCUAGAUAAAAACUGGCACUGAAGGACUCAAGGGAUCUGGUUUCCCACUGGAUUCCCGGAGGAAGACCGGACCCAUCUCACCACCACUGGACUUUCUACAGGACCAUCUCUACUCCACAGAACCUCAUUUGUUACUCCAGGAGGACUUAUUUGGACAGCUUCCAACACCCUGACCACCCGGGUGCCUGGUUGUAUCCCUGACUCUGUCAGGGUUUUUCCAGGAUUUUUGUUUGCUUCCUUGCUUGUUUUUUUGUACUGCUACAUUUGUAUUUUCCUUUUUUUCUUUUUCUUUUUUUUUUUAAAUAUUCCUAGUAAAGAAUUGUUACUCCUAUUCCCAUA